CUCGCUCGAGCUCGGCUCGUUUCCACCCCUACACUCAACCCUAGGGGGACCACUCAACUUUAAUCUACUAAUAUCAUCUUGACCGUACAAUUUUUCAUCCAAGGGUUAAAAGCUUGAUAGCCAAAAAAACGUUUUACUAUUAAUAGUAUUCCAGCCUAAUUCUAUAUAUAUAUAUAUUCUAUGUCUAAUUGUUUUGUGAUAAGUUUUAUUUU
rnacentral:lncRNA from 1 species